rnacentral:rRNA from 1 species
UCGAGAAUUUUUCACAAUGGGCGCAAGCCUGACGCAGCGACGCCGCGUGAAUGAUGAAGGCUUUCGGGUUGUAAAGUUCAGUAAGCAGGGAAGAAUAAGCAAGAGGUAAUAUUUCUUGUGAUGACGGUACCUGCCUAAAGCCCCGGCUAACUACGUGCCAGCAGCCGCGGUAAUACGUAUGGGGCGAGCGUUGUUCGGAAUUAUUGGGCGUAAAGGGCGUCUAGGCGGGGAUUUAAGUUAGAUGUGAAAGCUAUGGGCUCAACCCAUAAACUGCAUCUAAAACUGAAUCUCUUGAGUUCGGGAGAGGAGAGCGGAAUUCCAGGUGUAGCGGUGAAAUGCGUAGAUAUCUGGAAGAACACCAGUGGCGAAGGCGGCUCUCUGGCCUAGAACUGACGCUGAAGCGCGAAAGCGUGGGGAGCGAACA